rnacentral:rRNA from 1 species
UGGGGAAUAUUGCACAAUGGGCGGAAGCCUGAUGCAGCGACGCCGCGUGAGGGAUGACGGCCUUCGGGUUGUAAACCUCUUUCAGCAGGGACGAAGCGUAAGUGACGGUACCUGCAGAAGAAGCGCCGGCCAACUACGUGCCAGCAGCCGCGGUAAGACGUAGGGCGCGAGCGUUGUCCGGAUUUAUUGGGCGUAAAGAGCUCGUAGGCGGCUUGUCGCGUCGUCCGUGAAAACCUGCGGCUCAACUGCAGGCUUGCGGGCGAUACGGGCAGGCUAGAGUUCGGUAGGGGAGACUGGAAUUCCUGGUGUAGCGGUGAAAUGCGCAGAUAUCAGGAGGAACACCGGUGGCGAAGGCGGGUCUCGU